ACAGCCACACGCGGUAAAAGCUGUUUCCACCCGCCAGGGUAGUUCUGGUUGGGGAGCCGGAAUGGAGCUCACACGAGCCUGAGGCCAGGUUUCUACUCCUCCUCCCCCUGAGGACCUUCCGAGCCUGACCCUCUUUGCCAGGUGACUUCAGGGACAGGGAUGUUUUGAGAGAUAAAAAGAGAAAGAAUCCGAAGACUGAGUCCUGGGUGCCCCAACAUUGAGAGACUGGGGAGAGGAGGAACCAGCUGUCCCAGAGGCUGAGGCAAAAUGAGGCUGCAUACGAGACUGCAUACCAUCUGGGCUGUACACCAGUGGGACUGAAAACUGACUACAGAUAAUCCACAACCUGGCUGUAUUCAUCAGGGACCGGUCAGGAAAAUGGCAUUUGCUAAGUGGCUCAACAGAAGGAGUUUAACACGGGGAGCUUGUGAUAAAGGAGCUCCAGCACCACCUCCAGCCUUCAGUGACCAUCUGGAGCAGGCACAGGGAUAGAGGAUAAGGGGGACAACUAUGGAGUGGAAAGUGGAGUGGAGAAAACAGUGGACUUGGAAUCUCACCUGCCAGAUCUGACUGUACUGGAUCUGACUUUGAUUGCGGUGCCGCCAUGGGCAAGUUACUUUAGCUGUGUGCACCUCCAUUUCCCCAUGGGUAGAACAUGGGUUUUGGAUAGAAGUGUCUGAUAGCUGUACUAUCAGUUCAUGAGCAUGUACACAUAGGCCCAUAAUAUCAUAUCUCUGGUCAUUCUGGCAGGUAGAUAUUAUUGCCCCAGGUUUCAGGUAAGAAGACUAAAGACCAGGGGUCAAAUUGCUUGCUCGGAGUCCCACAGCCAGCAGCAGCCGAGCAGGACAGGAAGUCAGAGUCUAGAUUCCAGAUCUUGCCCUCUUCCAAGUGUACCACAUUCUUCUCAAGGUGGCCUCUCAGGUCUUUGUCUGGAAAAUUUUGAGACUUUGAUGAGGAGCCCUUAUCUGCACAUUGGGUAUUAGGCCAGAUAACCCUGUGUGUCCUUCCAGGCCUGGUAUUGUGAGGCUGAAGGCCAGUGCCCCACACUCUCAUCCUCACCCCUUAGAGAAAGAUGGAGUCUCCAGUGCCAGCCUGGUGGGUGCUGAACUUGCCCUGCUGAGUCAAGCCCAGGAGGCAGCCAAGGUCCUACCAGUGACCUUACCCUGGGGGCCCCUCCAGGUAGGGGCCUGGUUGGAAAAGACAGACCGACUUCUUCUUGGAUGGCUGGAAAAAGAUGACAUACUCAAAGCCUUGUCCUUCCACUUGGAUGCACCUGGUGAAGAUGCGACAGUCACCUUUGUCUGGGGAGAGAUGGGCAGUGUCGCAGCCAGAGAAGGGAGGGCAUGGUCCGGAUACAGCACCAUUUGGUUGAGUCUUGCCUCUGGUACAAGAUUAAGGAGAGAGAACCAGAGUACACUGAAGGGGUUGCCUGCCCCUCCACACCUGUGGGUGUUUCUCGUUAGGUAGAACGAGAGACUUGAGAAAAGAAAUGAGACACAGAGACAAAGUAUAGAGAAAGAAAAGUAGGCCCA